AUACCUUUCUCGGCCUUUUGGCUAAGAUCAAGUGUAGUAUCUGUUCUUAUCAGUUUAAUAUCUGAUAUGUGGGCAAUGUGCCCACAACGAUAUUAAAUUUAUUUUUUAUGGGGAGGGCUCACCACAGUGGCUUGCCACUGGGGCCCUCAGGUGUUGCCCAGUGCGUUGCACUAUUGCCUGGGCAGGCGCACCCCAA
rnacentral:snRNA from 2 species